rnacentral:ribozyme from 2 species
AGUCGGCUUGGCGACUAUAAAUAGGCUUUUGGCCAAGCGCGGGCUCCCAACUCGGGAGUAUAGCA